rnacentral:misc_RNA from 1 species
AAGUCGUAACAAGGUUUCCGUAGGUAAACCUGCGGAAGGAUCAUUACAACGUCCAAAAGACAAACCAAUCGCGAACUUAGUACCCUUUGGACUAAAGGCAGAGCGGAUGAACCCUUGUGAUGAAGGCGUGUCACAGUGCCUUGGGUUGAUCCGUUCGCAGCACUUCGGUGCUGACUUUGGCUUUCCGAAGUGGUUUUUGUACAUCACUACUCUAACAUUACUAAACCCUUUAACACUUUUGAACUGACUUGUUGUUAACGCGGUGCUCCUCGCGGAGUGCUACUUAACAAUUGAUUACGUAAAUUACGAACAACUCUUAACAACGGAUAUCUUGGUUCUC